rnacentral:lncRNA from 1 species
CUCAAUUACACAAAUUUCCUAUGAGGAUAUAUGUAAUUUAGGUUUGAGCUUCAGUAAUUGAGUUUAUUCAUUGUACUUGGAUCAUAUUUUAAAUAAUGAAUUUUGGGAUAUUAGAGGGAUUUACUGAUUAUGUCAGUAAAAUAAUUUUCAACAUAUUAGUACAUAAACGUAGAUUUUGGAGUGAGAUUUUGUGAGAAGUCUUCAAAAGAAUGUUAGGCUGUACCUAGGAUGUGAAUCUUGCAGUAAAUUUUAUUUAUUAUUUCUUGAAUUUCGUAUAGACAGUUUUUUGUAGAUUUAAACUAUUUUUUCAUCUAUUUAACUCAUGGAAUCAGAAAUAGAUUAGUUUGAUGUCGGGUAAUUAUUUCAUGCACAAGAAACUUAUAUGCAACAUCUGUUGGUUGAAUGAGGAGCAUCAUUGGAACCGUUAGCCAAAAAUGAAAUGUAAUUGGAAAAGAAAUUCAAGGAAAUAAUAUAGGAUGAAUAUGAGGGAGUGACAUCAAUAAAGAAUGGGCUACUCUUUUCUACGUCUUAUGCCAAUUUAAAUUGUAUAUUAUAUUAAUGACUACUUUCAUAUGUGUGUGUGUAUUAUUGUUUCUAACUCCGUUGAUAAGUAAGAUUCUCCCAUUGAUACAUGUAAUUCAAUUUUUUCUUCCUGACCUGUAUAGUAAUAGACGAGAAGAGAUCAAUGUUGCAUAGACUCAAUAGUUUGUUUACAAUAUUAUAAUACUUGUGUUUUCAAUGUUGUAGUUGGCCCUUAUCUUGGGCUGAUCUUAAUGUGCAGCAAGAGUACAUUCGAGGAAUCAAUUUCUCGAAUUUCAAUACUCUUGUAUGCUAUCAGUCCAUUGAUCAGUUGGUAAUAUGGAUUGCAUCAUUUGAACGCCACUUUAAUAAGUUGAGGUUUUCUCUGCAGAUUCAGGAUGAUGAUCUUUCUAAUUCAAAAAAUUCAAGUGUGAGUUGAAAGUAUAGGAAUGGGCAAGAUGACGCUGAUGCUCCUCCAGAGGGAAUAUCUACUGAUCAGGGCAUUCAUUCAAAUGUUGCACAAUAGCUGGAGGUAUAGUUGCUAUUCAAUAUAUAGUUCUAAUUUUCCUGUUGUUAUUCAGUACUUUCCUUCAGACUCCUCCCCUUUCUGUUUUGCUCUGUUUUUCGUUUUCCCCAAUCCUUUAUAGUUAUCUAAUAUGUGCAGUUUAAUCUUUAUUUUCUCAGGAUGGACUCAACGAUAUUCAUGAUCUAGAGAAUUCGUUUGCUGCAUUUCUUGUGAAACCUCUUCGGGCACUAAAGUAUGGUGCAUCUGGUUUGGACAAGCUAGAAAGGCAAAGCACAUUUUGUUUUGGACUUAAAAUCAGAUCAGCCUGCAAUGCAAUGGGAAUAUUUUCAUUGAUAUUUUGUGCCUUUGUAAAUAACAUUUUUUAGCAUAUUGGUAUAUACUUAGCUCGUUGCUCUUGUUACUUUUAGGAAACAAUGCUAAUGCACAAGGAGUUGGUGCAUUCUAGUGGCCUUAACAAACUUAUGGUGGAACUUCAAAUCAAAGGUUGGCAUUUCCUUGAUAAUCCAUCUUGUUAACUACUCAUAUUCUGAGUAUAAGCAUUUUGGGUAAAUUCAAAAAAUACAGUUAUAAGCUUAUAGAGAAACUAAUGCUAGAGCCCCUUUGAGGAAUGAAUAAUUACGUUCUAUGUUGCUCGGACUCUCCAAAAAUGGAGAAGCAUCCGUGUCAAUACAACAUGAUACGGAUACUGACAUGGGAUAUGGAUUGAAUCCUUCGUUUUACACUUGGACACGGCAACAAAAGGGAGAAGAUGGUGGAAGGUUUCUUGCUUCUCCGGCGGCUGAAAAAUUUGUAGAGAGAGAGAAAUUUGGGGAAGACAAGGAAAGACGAUGAGUUUUAAGGAGUUAAAUGGGCUCUUGAGAAGUCCAAAUGAUAGAGUUAAUGAGAGUGUGUUAAAUGGAUUCUUGUGAAGUCUAAUGAAUGUAGUUAUUGAGUUUAUAUAAUUUUUUUAUUUCUUAUAUUUUAUCUUUUACAACAUUUUAUAUUAUACUUAAAAUGAAUUAGUGAUAUAUUAUUU